rnacentral:rRNA from 1 species
UACGGAGGGUGCAAGCGUUGUUCGGAAUCACUGGGCGUAAAGCGCGUGUAGGCGGCCGCGUAAGUCUGAUGUGAAAGCCCGGGGCUCACCCCCGGAAGUGCAUUGGAAACUGCGUGGCUAGAGUACCGGAGAGGAGGGUGGAAUUCCUGGUGUAGCGGUGAAAUGCGUAGAUAUCAGGAGGAACACCGGUGGCGAAGGCGGCCCUCUGGACGGAUACUGACGCUGAGACGCGAAAGCGUGGGGAGCAAACAGG